GGUUGAUUACUGAGCUACUAGUAAGUUGAAGAAAUUCUUCAGGAAACAGCAGGAAAAGGCAGACCUUUCUGGCUCCCUCUUUUUCUCCAAAUCAAGCUGUAAGAGCCCUCAUUUGAGAGAUGCCAUUCUAGAAGAAAUGCCUGGAGUUUGCUCUCAGAAGACACAGUGAGCUAGCAGGUCUUGCUCACUUUCCCAGUGUGUUAUCAUUAGACCACACUCUGUUACUGCCAAUCAUAUACAUAUUAUUUCUUACAACUGUCUACUGUUUAUCAAACUGGAACACAGACAUUCACAAGCCUACUUGUCCUCUUGACUAUUUCUUUCUUCUCAAAAGUUCCCAUGUUGUGCAUAUUAAAUCAAUGCGAGCACUUUAUUCUUGCUUAUCUCUGUUUACUCUUUAUGUCUUCUUCUGUAGCACUGCAAGCAUGAGACUAGUGAUGGGUGAGGAAGAAGCCUUAAUUUCCUCUGCUUUACUAAGUGGUACUUACAGAUACUGACAAUAAGAAGGCCACAGUGGUAAGAGCCAUGAACAGCGCAGGAUAACUCACAUUCGACACGGAGUUCUUAAACGGCAGUCUUCUAGAAUGAGCCCCCAGAGAAAGCCAUCAGCAAGAAGAGGCCCGGCUGCUUCACAUGAGUAUUUACAACAAUAUGAACAGACCGAAAAGGAGCAAAGAG
rnacentral:lncRNA from 1 species